rnacentral:misc_RNA from 1 species
UAGGAAGUAUAUGAGAUUUAAGGCAAAUGCUCUUCUAUCCUUUCAUUUACUCAAAAUUUUCCCCCUUCCAGAGAAAAAUAGUACACUAGAAUGAACAGCGCAUAAAAUUCAUAAUUGCAGCAUAGAAAACAAGUGUUCACGACAAUAAUAGCCAAAAAUCUCAUAUACUUCCUAUAUGCCUUAACAUAUGCUUUCACAUAACAUCUUUAAUGGUGAAGUUCACAAAUAAGACUACAAUUACUUGUAAUAUGAAAGCAGCAACAAUCUACUGGAUACUAUCCGCCAUGCAAGGUUGAAAUAAAGACGACCACAUCCUUCUCUUCCAGUGUGGUAUCAAGCUGGCCACUAAGCUCCCAAUCACAAUCAUUCACGAGGACCAGGACGCCAGGUCUCACAGAAUCCCCUUUCAUGAACAUUUCAGGCCUCUCCUUGAUUAAAUUUGUGCGAACCCAAGCGAGCAAGUCUUUCAUGGUUAACUUCUCUACUCCAUUUUUCAGUUGGACAUUGACAUUAUGAAUCUUCACUGAAUUACAAAGGAGCUCUAGCCCUCCACCGAAUUCCAGAGUGAGUUGCAUGUUCAAUAUUUCUGCAGAAACUGAAAACCCUAGACUGAUGG